rnacentral:rRNA from 1 species
UACCUGAUUAAUCCCUCACUACCACAUGCCUGUCUCUAAAGUUAAUCCACAGGCAUCCUAGCAUUUGUGGCUGAUGUGGUCAUGUUGCAAGUGGCUGAUGUGGUCAUGUUGCAAAUGGCUUUAAGUGCUUGUUCUGCUCCUACGUAGACAACUGUGGUAAUUGGAACUAAUUGAUGCCCACAGGCACCAGCAGCUCUGGUGAUUCUAGAUAACCUAGGUCAGUUGCAUGUCCCAUGGACCUGUCAGCUAUUUUAGGUACAAGUCAUAGUGCCUACAGUGGCGACCAGGGUGACCAGGAAUCCAGGUUCAGUACCAUAAAGCUUGGUGAUUAACUUCCGCAACCAAGAAAGGCAGUAGACGUUCAGAUUACCUACUUGAGACCUGGGAGAGCAGUGAUGAAAAAUAACACUGGACUUUUUUGAGAGCCUAUAUUUGAAUGAGACCAUUUCACAUCCUUUAAGGAGGGGGUCCAUUGCAGGGCAAGUCCGGUUGCCGGCGGUUGUGGUAAUCUCAGCUCCAGUGCAGGUAUUGAAUUCGGUGCAGUUAAAAUGCUAGCUUGAUGUUGGAUCUCCCAUGUGAGCAGCAGCAGGUCCACCACAGGAGAUGGUCUUUUCAGGUCCCCCCAACCCCCGUCCGCUUGGGUGAGCUCCUGGAUCUUAGCCAGUUUCCCUAGGCUGAAGUGUAUAUUUGGAGAAAGAGUGCUCAAAGCAGACUCAAGCUGCCAGGAUACUGCCCUGGGAAUCAUGAAAUUCUAGUGUGUCAGAACUUUGCGGAAUUCUAUUUUGUUUGUGUCAGAACUUUGCAGAGGCUGAUUAGACAGGAUUGUUGGGACAUUCAUACUGUGUUGCUAGAGCCCAAAGUCUUAGACUGGUGCAGGACGGACCAGAGUGAGAGCUUUUGCCAAAGAUGUUUUCAUUAAUCAAGGAUGAAGGUGAAAGUGGGAGGUUUGAAGAGGCUUGGAUCCAACGUAUCCCAUGUAGUUCUGACUGUAAAUGAUAUGGACAGCCAGCAUUGUUCUCAUGACCCUCCGGUCGCCUCCAGGAAACCAAAGUCCUUCGGGUGGUGACGGGGUGGGGCGUGGGGGGGUUGUGGCAGGGUGUGGUUCUAAAGCUAACUGAAAGACAGCCCUGGAGCUUGAUUUGACUCAACCUGGACAACCCCUCCUGGCUCUCGUCUAGGUAAAACUGGCACAGCAAAAACUCUUCUGUGGGUGGUGGUGUAUGGCCUUUCUAUGUUAGCAGUGAUUUGCCUGGCUUAUUGAUAACUAGGGGUAUUAGUCUGCUAACCAGUUAGCCAGCUUGAGUACUCAUUAUCCUUUGACUUUGGUAAGUGGCGCUCAGCCAUCCUGGAACGAGCAACACAGUGCUUUUUAACAUUGGGGGCCGAGUGCCACACUGCUUAGUGUCUGUGCACCCUAGUCCCAGUGGUGCUGGGGACUGGUUAAAUCCAUUAAUGAUGGGCUUGGAUUGCAGUUUUUCCCCAUUAACGAGGACCUCCCUUGAGAGAGUAGAUCAAAAGACACUUAGCCUUAUAGAUCACAGAGAAGAAGGUCUAAAUAAAAGUUUCGAUCAGGUUUCCAUAGGUUGUCCUGCAGAGGGAGCAUUG